ACGGGAUGGGCCCCAAUCGGGAAGCACGCGCCACCAGCUCUGGAGAGAACCGUCUGAGGAGACGCGGGGGAGAGUUUGGGUCACAGGAGCAGGAAGGAACUGGCAGGUGUCUGUCACCUUAUCAUCCCGGACACCAUGUUUACAUUGUAAUUGGCUUCUUUACAGAGAGGGAGGGACCAGGUUCCCAGUGUGAGUGAUGUUUAGAGGUUUUCUGAGAAGCACAAGGACUGGACUUUGACAGGAAGCAACGAGGCAAGAGGGAAGCUCGAGAACAGGUUUUGCUGAGGAUUCCCCCCAAGAAAAGUGCUCCCCGGGAGGCCGUUCCUGGCACCAAGACUGGCGGAGCCACCACACCCGUUAAAGGGAUCCACCUGGACAGCGAUCAGGCCACCUCCAAGGAUCACGUAGGACCAGCAGAAGCAGCGUAAAGUAUUGGAACUUUGAAUCUGACAUCAGAAAGACCUGCACUCAGCCGGGCACGGUGGCUCACGAUUGUAAUCCCAGGCCGAGGCGGUGGAUCACUUGAGAUUCACUGAUUCUAGGUAAAUCAGAGGAACAAGCAACAUGAACAGAAAAAAUGUAGAAAAUGCAAUUAUGCUGAAGUACAAUUGUUGUUUCAGAAGUCCAGCAUCUGGUGUACUUAACAAUAGAGAAUAUAUUAAAUUUUUCCAAAAUAAAAAAAACAAGUAGGAGACUCGCUAGUGAAAAUUAAAUGGCAUAUGCAAAGUCUUUAAUACAGCAUUUGGUACAUGAGAGGGACUCAGUAAAUUUUAGUAACUUAUAAUUAUUAGGAAGACUAUGACUGCCCCCAUUUAAAAGAUCAGCAGUCUGAGGCUUAUAAAGACCAAGACUUAUUCAAGUCUUGUGAUUUCCAGCCUGAGGCUCUUUCUACUUUGUGAAAACUGAG
rnacentral:lncRNA from 1 species